rnacentral:rRNA from 1 species
CCUACGGGGGGCAGCAGUGAGGAAUAUUGGUCAAUGGGCGGAAGCCUGAACCAGCCAAGUCGCGUGGGGGAAUAAGGCCCUACGGGUCGUAAACCUCUUUUGCCGGGGAGCAAGGGCGGGGAAGUGUCCCGGCCCGGAGCGUACCCGGAGAAAAAGCAUCGGCUAACUCCGUGCCGGCAGCCGCGGUAGUACGGAGGCUGCGGGCGUUAUCAGGUUUUAUUGGGUUUAACGGGUGCGUAGGCGGGCUUUUGAGUCAGGGGUAAAAAUUCGGGGCUCAACCCCGUCCGGCCGUUGAAACUGGGGGCCAGGAGUGGGCGAGAAGAAGGCGGAAUGCGUGGUGUAGCGGUGAAAUGCAUAGAGAUCACGCAGAACCCCGAUUGCGAAGGCAGCCUUCCGGCGCCCUACUGACGCUGAGGCACGAAAGUGCGGGGAGCGAACAGGAUUAGAUACCCGGGUAGUC